AGGAUAGUACAAAAUCAGAAUUCAGCAUGUGAUACGAAGACUUGAGAUGGUUUUGAUGUCAUUUCCUCCAGCUGAUCCUCAACAGGAUACAUUUGCAGCAAUUGGUGGUGCUCUUCUUUUCUCCUGCAACCAGCACAAACCAGUAUGAUCAGUGUUAUAAUCAGUCUGACUUUCCUGCUUUACUGGAAAUCAGUUUUAGCAGGAGAGAAUGGAGUCACCCAAAACCCCAGCGUCGCCUGGCAUCUGAAAGGAGAAUCUGCUGAAAUGAAGUGCAGUCAUAAUAAAGGUUCUGGCUAUUAUCAGAUGUACUGGUACAGACAGCGCCAAGGAGAGAGUAUGGAGUUCAUCGUGUACACAACAACCAGUGAAUCAGACUUUGGCUCAGUUGAUAAAAAUAAAUUUUCUACUGUUAAAAAAAUUGCUGCAAAUGGAUCAUUAACUGUGAAGGAUCUGGAUACAGAGGACAGCGCUGUAUAUUUCUGUGCAGUUAAAGAACACAGUGUUACAGAGUUACAGCAGUGCUGAACAAAAACACCCGCACUGAUAUUACUGCAGUAACUAAUACCACAGACAGAGGGAGUCCUAAUGUAACA